GUGGAGGAAAGAGUAGUCAAGUUAAUUCACGGCAUUAAAUUCGGCAGCUCAUCGUUUUAAAAAAAUUUGAUCAUUUUUUAAAUUUUCUUUUUUAGGAUAGUUGGUUUAUAGUUUUUGACAAUUCUACCAAGUUUUAGAAUUUUUGAAAUUAAUUUAGAUAAAAAAGUGGGGUGUUAGAGUGGCUACACAGUGCAGAAAGAAAUGCAGAAAACUGCUUGAGCUGCCUAAAGGUGAAAAACGUUGAAAGCAGCGGUACUUGCUUCGCAAACUCAAAGCUAGAAAAGAAAAAAGCUAGUGGGCAAGAAAAUCUCUUGUGCUACGCACGCAUGGCUAGGAAGCGGUGAACUAAAUGAAAAUUGAGGCAACAGUAUAGAGUGAACAACCAACACAAGCUUGCAUUUUAGAAGUGAUGAUUAUAAUGCAAGCUACUUGAAGUGUUGAAACUUAGCAUUCUGGAAGAUUUGACGAGGAACGGAUCAAGUCAUGGAGGACGGGGUUUCUGAUGCUACCAAAGUUAACGGGGAGUUACUACUAGCUUUGUUUUUUAUUGUUUAGUUGCAUUAGGGACAAUGCAACAUCUUUAAUUGGUGGGUGGGACUUCAUUUUGAUAGAUAUUUUAUGUUGG